AGUUUGACACUUUUUCAGACCAUCAUACUGGUCUGAAUAGGUUGAUUGGCAUGUCUAAAGUGUCCAUAGAGUAUGAAUGGGUGUGUGUGUGUGUGUGUGUGUGUGUGUGUGUGUGUGUGAGAGAUUGUGUGCCCUGUGAUGGAUUGGUACCCUGUCCAGGGUGUACCCCGCCUUGUGCCUGGUGCUUCCUGGGAUAGGCUCCAGGUUCCCCAUUACCCUGAAAAGGAUAAGCGGUAUAGAAUAUGGAUGGUUGGAUGGAUGGAUGGAUACUGGUCUGAAUGUGUCAUAUUUCCAAACCAGCUGUCAAACCCUUGAAAAAUAAUCAUUUUAAAUAAUCUCUUUUAUCCGGUUACAGAGUAUAACUUGAUCAAGACCAAACAACCAAACCGAACCGUCUUAUCCACAUUAAAGUGCAGCUCCUCUCUCCAGGUUAAUUCAGCUGUUGGUUUUCAAUUGAUGAAAAAGGUGCAUGGUAACUUAUGGUAUAAAUGUGGUUUGGUAAUUAUAACACAGUAACCUCUGCCUCAAAGCUGCUGCUAUAUUUAUUCUUUCAUGCCUGAUGUAGAAAGUGAUCCAAAAAAUCGUGAUCAGGCAGCUAGUCAGCUAGUCGGAUUGAUCAGAAUGGUUGGGGAGCAAGUGGGAGUGGGAUUUAACAAAAACAGACAAACACAGUUAGCUCGAACACAGAAUAGGAGACUGUUCAAGUGUCAAAUGCUGUGCCCUGUGCAAAUAUGCAUGAAAAGCUAUGCAACUUCCUGCUACAUUUCCUCUUUAUAACUAGCCAUAUUUAUUUUUAGUCAGCACGUUCUUUAUAGAGUUUGCUAAUUUCUUUAUGGGAUUAAAUGGACCUGGGCUGUUUAAAUGUUUAUAGUUUAAAUGGAAUGACUGUGUGAUUGACCUCUUAUGAGGUGACCCACUCAUUGCAUGUUUGUUUCCGUGAAAACUGUUUGUGUUACUGAGUUACCUGAAGUAUUUGACAUUUGGAUGGUACUUACCCCCUUGCACGCUCUAAGCUUAUGAUAACAGUUGCCUUUACCCACGGCUUAUACUGACAGCUUGCUUUGUUCAUGACUUGUGUUCUGUUCUUGUAUUGGCCCUAGCUUAUUUCAUGGCAUAAUAAUGCACAUUCAUGCCAUUAUCCAACCAGCCAAUCAUGUGGCAGCAGCACAAUGUAUAAAAUCAUGCAGUUCAUUCAACAAUUCAUAUAUGAUGUAUUGCCUCAAACUGAAACUGAAGUAUUUUAGAAAUAGUUUGGUUUAAUGAACCAUUGUGUGACUCUUUUUUUUUUUUUUUUAUCUACAAUUGUGUGUUUUAUUAUUUUAUAGCAUGUAUUUUACUAUUAGAUCAGCAUGAUCUGGAUUAACAUGAAACAAAAUCAAACUAUCCAUUAAACUUCUAAUCAUAAUAUCUAAUAUAUUACCUCUAGUGAAUAUGCUGGGGCUGUGGUAAAUAUAUUUGCUAAUGUAUUCUGAUUUCAGAAGUAUGAGAACAAUUGUGUGUGAAUUUACAAGUUCAUCACUACUGGCACUUGGGGUUCUGUGGUUUGUUAGUUUGUAGCUAUUUCAGGAAAUGUUAUCUGUGAUCUCAUGUUAUCUCAUCAUCGCUGCUGUGAAAAUUACAUUUCCAGAAGCUGCAGUUUAAUGAUUGUAUGAUGGUGCUGCAUUUUAACACGAUGUGCUUCAGUGUGUGGAUGCUUUGGUGUUGCUUGAUGUUUGUCAAAGGGGGUGAAUUGUGUAAAAGCUACUGCACUGAUAGAAGCAACAUUUCUAUUAAGAUUUAUAUUACACAGUUCUCAUCACUGGUCUGACGCGGUCAGGUUUAGAUGAGCUGCAGCUUCAUGAUCGUACAAUGGUGCAGUUUAAGAUGAGCUGUUUCGGGCUGUGGAUGGUUUAUUGGUGCUGUUUGGCUUUGGGAAACGGAGAAAGCCUGUGCAAAAGUGAACUUUUACUAAGCAGUAACAUUUCUACUGAGCUCCAGUCUGAUGUCCUGCUGCCGUGUAUCUUUAAUCCAACUCUCCUCGGAUCAGAUAAGACUGCAGAUAUAUCAGUAGUGUGGACUCAGAGGAACACAACAAUACACAAUCUAGUGGAGAUCACUCUACAGGGAGAUGUGUUGUUUUGGGAGUCUAAACGUGGACGUAUCAAGACGUUCGCUAAGCUCUCUGAAUCAGGAAACUUCUCCAUCCUCCUUCAGAAAGUGCAGCCGUAUGAUCUGGGUCUCUACCGCUGUGAGCUGUUUAACGGGACCGGCUGCAGAACUGCGUAUCAGGAGCUACAGCUUGAUACUUCCACAGAUCCUGUCUUCCAUCAGGCGAUAAUCAUCACAGGAGCAUCAACAGGAGCAGUACUUCUUUGUUUAUUCAUAGCAUCUGUCAUCUACAUAGGCAACAGACGUGAGUCUUUUGUAUAAACACUUUGUUAGGUAAUAUUUGACAUGACGUCUAUUCUUUUUUUGGUAACUUUUGAACGAGCUUGUUCAGAUAGACCAAUGCUGAUUAGUAUUAAACAUCUACUAUACAAUGCAUUUAAAUAAACAGCUCAACUGGAUGUUACAGGAAGGCACCGGCUACACCCAGAGAGCACUCGUGGUAAGUGUUAAGAGGUGUGAAUUCUCACAGCUACAGGAAGUUGCCACUCCUGUGAAGUAUUGAGGACUGUAGUUCUGCUGUAGCUUAAACUGAAUUAAUCAGUAACAUUGAAGGACGAACUAGAUGAAGAGUUCUAAUAAAUAAAAUAGUUGUAUGUAUUGUCUGUCUCUAGGUUGUUCACAUGAUAACCCAGACUAUGUCAGCUACAGCCAUGGCAGGGAUGAAACUCUUGUGAGUGAAAACCCGAUCUACGAGACUAUUUGGAACAGAGGAGGCAGCAUGUGUUGAAGGCUCAUACAGUACCUUCACCAGAGGGGCAAAUAUUGGAGAAUAAAUUAUAUCUUAGUAGGGACUCGGUGUUCUCACAAGGAUAGCAAAAAUUCACAGUUAUAUCUUUACAAGAACUGCAGCUAUUAUUUUAUUUAAAAAACCAAAAGAUCUCUUUUCGGUUACUUGAGUAAAGCUUAGAGUUAGAUUAAGGUGCAGAAUAACAUUAUCAUUAUUAGUCAGCAUUAAUAAUUAUGUCAAAGGUCUUGACAAGCAAGUGUGUGUGUGUGUGUGUGUGUGUGUGUGUGUGUGUAUCUACAGUAUACAUCCAUACAUACAUGCAUACAUAUACACACUCACUAUAUGGCCAAAAGUAUGUGGACACCUGAGCAUCAUUCUCAUAUAUGGUUCUUCCCCAAAACUGUUACCACAUGCUGCAUCAUUACCAUUUCCCUUCAGUGGAACUAACAGGCCCAGACAUGUUCAGCAUGGCAAUGUUCUUGUGCUCAAAGCAAGCUCCAUAAAGACAUGGCUUUCCAAGGUCGAUGUGGAAGAACUGGAGUGGCGUGCACAGAGCCCUGACCUCAACCACGCUGAACUGGAACGUCGACUGCACACCAAAUCUCCUCACGUGUCUCAAUGCCUGACCUCACUAUUUCUCUUGUGGCUGUAAAGGGAGAACGGGGAAAAUCCCCUCAGCCGUGCUCAACAAUCUAGUGGAAAGCCUUUCCAGAGAAGUGGAGAUUAUUAUAAGAGCAAUGACAGGACCAAUUCCCCAUCAAUGUUCAUUCAUUUAGAAUUCAUUUCUCUUGGAUGGAUACAUUUAUUCGCUUUAUUUAAUAUUAUAUUAUGCAAUAGCAUAUUAUCUCCGUCAAAAAUGAAAAAAUUUGUCAUUUAAGUGGUUUUAUUUUACAUUUGACUGCAUUCUUUUCAAUUUCUGAAUGUUUAAUUAAGCUGUUAGACACCUAACUAACUGGAAAGAUUUUUUUAUUAUUAUAUUACUGGUCCUUUUUUAAAAAAAUAAAUAAAAUAAAUGUUUUAUUUUAUUCAUUUCUUGUCUUUUGUUAUUAUUUUAUUAGUUUAUCUUAAAUAAUUGCUUGAUGACUUUAAACAAUGUUUCGUAAGAAGUUAUUAAUGGAUUAACGCCAUAAUUUUGAUGUUAUAUUUACAUAAAAAUUUAGCGUUUGCAAUA